GAUGAACGCUGGCGGCGUGCCUAAUACAUGCAAGUCGAGCGAACAGACGAGAGUGCUUGCACUCUCUGACGUUAGCGGCGGACGGGUGAGUAACACGUGGGUAACCUACCUAUAAGACUGGGAUAACUUCGGGAAACCGGAGCUAAUACCGGAUAAUAUUUAGCUUCGCAUGAAGCAAUAGUGAAAGACGGUUCUGCUGUCACUUAUAGAUGGACCCGCGGUGUAUUAGCUAGUUGGUGGGGUAACGGCUCACCAAGGCAACGAUACAUAGCCGACCUGAGAGGGUGAUCGGCCACACUGGGACUGAGACACGGCCCAGACUCCUACGGGAGGCAGCAGUAGGGAAUCUGCCGCAAUGGACGAAAGUCUGACGGAGCAAUGCCGCGUGAGUGAAGAAGGUGUUCGGAUCGUAAAACUCUGUUGUAAGGGAAGAACAAGUACGUUAGUAACUGAACGUACCUUGACGGUACCUUACCAGAAAGCCACGGCUAACUACGUG
rnacentral:rRNA from 1 species